rnacentral:lncRNA from 1 species
UUUCUACCUUACAUUGAUUGCUAAGCCUAAAAAGAAAUAUUAAUUAGAGAAGAGGUUUUCCUUCGAGGGCACCCCUCAGUCUCUAUGAUAAUUUCUUCAUGUCUUCUCCAGGGGCUAGGGGGCCUUGCUUAUAUAGUCCUCCCCUUCUAUGCGUUUUUGGGUCGAUAGGCGAGGUGGUACUAUGUUUUUCUUGAUCUGAUAGGUCGGUGGAAUAUCCCGAGCGAAAGAGUCCUGAUUUGGCUCCAACAGGGGGGCGGGCGCCCAGGCUACCAGGGCGGGCGUCCUGGGCCUGGCCCAGUUUCGCCUCCGCUUCGGUCUCGUGGCUUCUGGAGUCUUCUAGAUGAUGGAAAAUUACGCGAUGCGUUGAUAUCUCUAUGUAAUCCCGACAUGUGGGCCUUUCUUCCUUAUUUCCUGAUAACCCCGUGCAGAAACAGAUAAACAACAAAACUCGUGGAAUUCUGUCAGAUCAAACCCUAAUUCUAGGUGAUGGUUGCAUAUUGGUCCUUUCUCUUGUUUAUUUGAUAAUUAAAAUUGAUACUUAAGAACCGUCAACAAAUACCCCCAUACUUAGGCUUUUACUCGUCCUCGAGAAAAGGAUGGUUAAGAAAAAUAUCUGGGGUAAACAUUUUAAAACAUUCUCUAUAUAAUUGCAGGGUGUUAAAAAUCCACUGUAUACCAUAGUCAAGGAAGUUUAUGAUCAAGAGUAAAGAUUCUCUCUUCUCAAUCCUAUCACUUGGAGUUUUUUGUAUAUUUUUGAAUGAAAGUUAGUAUACCUUUUUAUCCUCAUAGGUUCUCUCAGAUCACUCAUUAUCUUUUAUAUAUAUCUCACUGAGGCUGUUUUAUUUUGCAAAAAUUCUCAAGCAUACUUACUUUGCAUUUAUUGCCUGAUCAAAACGGGAUCCGAGGAGGGGAAUGUCAUACUCUUAGAUCUAAGACUUUGAAAAUUAAAAACUUUGUCAACUCUUGCUGGCAUAUUGCUUAUUAGAGGGACCAUGGGCUAUCAUUUUUCUCUUUUUUUUUAAGUGGAUACCGAGGUACCCCUAAUUCUACUGCCGGACACUUGUCCAUUUUUUUCUGCGAGGUUGUCGAGCACUUGCUCCUUUUUAUUUUUCUCGAAAUAUCUCUAUUUUUGCAUAGCCCAUGCCUCUAAUGCAAUAAUACUUCGGAAGAGUGAAUCUUACUGAAAUAAUAUCUUGAUCUUGGGAGCAUGAUAAAUCUCUCAACAAGGGUCUAACUCAUUUUGAACAAACUCAAUACAGAGCAGAUAGCUUUUAUAAUCAUAAUUAAUAUUUGCAGUCUUAUCAGGCAUAUAAAACACUGAGGAUGGUAGCUAUAAUUUUGAAUAUUUUGAAAUAAAUUCUCCAAGCAACAAUGAUAUCAAGAAUAAGAAACUCAUACUCUACCAUCACAUAUUCCAUAUUGACUUAAGUACACAGGGUUUUAAAAUGAUUUUAUAAUAAUUGCAAGUUUUCAGGAAAUAUCAUAGAUUGAGAUUAAUCAUGAUUAGAAAUAUUUUAAUCUUUUUAUUUUAUCAUGUCGGAAACAAUAAUCUGCAUAAUCCAGAAUAAAUGUAUGUAUGAAGUAAAGUGUGCAGAGUGUGUACCUGAAUGAUGGAGUGGUGUAGUCGGAGUGUGGUUAGCAUGUCGAGGGAUCUCCCCCAUACUUGUUUUCUGCUUUCUUGCACAAAAAUAAAGUAGAGACACACAAGACAUAAUAAUAAUAGUAAUACUCUUUAUUAAUCUUGAGGCAUUCAUUACAAAAGACUGAUAGCAAACUGAUAAUAAUAGUAAACCUAAACCGAAUUUAAAGAUAGAUAACUAAGAUGCAUUGCCUCAAGGUCUAAUCUAGAUAACUUAGUGACGCUCUAAUUCCUUGAUCUUCUUGUUGGCACUGGCAAGAUCCUGCCUAAGGCCUAGUAUAACGGUGUUGUGGUUAGAGAGCUGCCUAGUGAGGGAA